GACGAACGCUGGCGGCGUGCUUAACACAUGCAAGUCGAACGGUGAUGCUCCAGCUUGCUGGAGUGGAUCAGUGGCGAACGGGUGAGUAACACGUGAGCAACCUGCCCCAGACUCUGGAAUAAGCGCUGGAAACGGCGUCUAAUACUGGAUACGAAACUGGCCCGCAUGGGCAUGGUUUGGAAAGUUUUUCGGUUUGGGAUGGGCUCGCGGCCUAUCAGCUUGUUGGUGAGGUAAUGGCUCACCAAGGCGACGACGGGUAGCCGGCCUGAGAGGGCGACCGGCCACACUGGGACUGAGACACGGCCCAGACUCCUACGGGAGGCAGCAGUGGGGAAUAUUGCACAAUGGGCGAAAGCCUGAUGCAGCAACGCCGCGUGAGGGAUGACGGCCUUCGGGUUGUAAACCUCUUUCAGCAGGGAAGAAGCGAAAGUGACGGUACCUGCAGAAGAAGCACCGGCUAACUACGUG
rnacentral:rRNA from 1 species